rnacentral:lncRNA from 1 species
AUGUCCACAGAAGGCAGCCAAUUGUGCAUUGGAUCAGGAAGCUGGCUUGUCCUGUGGUCCUCAAGUUCAGGAAGAACUCAGUAUGCAUUUCUUGGCUGGUUGAUUUUGCAAUAUUCCUUGCAUAUUCCUUUUUUAGUUCUAGGUGAUAUAUGGAGGUUUAUACUCUUCUACUGAGAGUUAGUACAGGUAUGUUGUUAUUGCUGUUGUCUAUUCCUCCAGGCUCCUGUGUCCAUGGGGUUCUCUAGAUAAGAAUGCUGCAGUGGGUUGCCAUCUCCUCUUCCAGGGCAUCUUUCUCACUUACGGACUGAAACUGCAUCUCCUGCACUGGCAGGCGCUGACUCACCAGGGAAGCCCGUGUUUGUUAUUAGCAUAUAGAAAAUACAUUAAUUAAAAACAUGUGCAUGUUGGUUAAUUUUAACUCAUUGUUUUAUUACUUGCUAGAUAUAUGUUAAAGAAGUUAAAAUCAUGGGUUUAGGAGUUGGAUUUGGGCUGGGUCAGGCCUUAAUUGGUAAAAAUGGGCAAUAAUAUCUGCCUUGGAGAAUUGAUAGCACUGCACACAGAGCAUACUCAAAGUAGCUAUUAUUAAUAAUGAUAAUGUUGGCAUUUUUGUAACUUAUAAUAUGUAACAUUUAUUAUCUUGGUGUGUGUGUGUGUAAGUGUAGUUAUUACGGCAGAAAGAAGACAGUGGAAAGUGUAUUUUAGAACACUGUUUCUCACAGAGGUCUCAAGACCAGCAGCAACAGCAUACCUCAGAAUUACUAGAGAUACAGAUUUCUGCCCCACACCCCAGAUCUGCUGAAACAGAUAUAGAAGUGUGGGCUGAAUACUAUCUAACAAGUCCUCCAGGUGGUUCUGAAGCAUCCUAAAGCUUAGGAACCCUGCUUUAAAGUCACAUACACACAAACACACACACCCUCACACUCUCUGUCUGGUGUGCUUCUUUGGGGAAACCAUCUAUUAACAGAGUAAAAGGAUCCUGGAGGCCAACACCUAGAGAAUUCCUGCUGAAGGGCAGGUCCAUAGGACCUGAGUCAUUUGAAUUUGGGAGAGAGACCCAAUUUCUGGUUUGCAUAUCAAACUUGUGCAGUGGCCUAGCUUUCUGACAGGUCUUUGAAAAAUGAGGUCCCCAGUAACAGCCCUCUCUCCCUCCAAUAUUUCCUGGCCUGCAGCAAUUAAACUGCUGAGCAGAAACUGGGCCUGAUGGUCUGUUAACCCUUUGUCAGCUGAAGCACAGAAGCAAUUUGUUUUGCUGGAGAGAUUGUCUUCUCAACUUCUUUUCCUCCCACUGCACUACAAAGGAAAACUGUCUCCUUAAACAUCUCCUUGUCGAGCUGCUGCAUCUGUGUGAUUGAAACAGCCAGGUCAGAGAUCAACGGAGGU